AUUUGAACGCUGGCGGCAUGCCUUACACAUGCAAGUCGAACGGCAGCACGGGAGCAAUCCUGGUGGCGAGUGGCGAACGGGUGAGUAAUACAUCGGAACGUGCCCAAUCGUGGGGGAUAACGCAGCGAAAGCUGUGCUAAUACCGCAUACGAUCUACGGAUGAAAGCAGGGGAUCGCAAGACCUUGCGCGAAUGGAGCGGCCGAUGGCAGAUUAGGUAGUUGGUGAGGUAAAGGCUCACCAAGCCGUCGAUCUGUAGCUGGUCUGAGAGGACGACCAGCCACACUGGGACUGAGACACGGCCCAGACUCCUACGGGAGGCAGCAGUGGGGAAUUUUGGACAAUGGGCGAAAGCCUGAUCCAGCCAUGCCGCGUGCAGGAUGAAGGCCUUCGGGUUGUAAACUGCUUUUGUACGGAACGAAACGGCCUUUUCUAAUAAAGAGGGCUAAUGACGGUACCGUAAGAAUAAGCACCGGCUAACUACGUGCCAGCAGCCGCGGUAAUACGUAGGGUGCAAGCGUUAAUCGGAAUUACUGGGCGUAAAGCGUGCGCAGGCGGUUAUGUAAGACAGUUGUGAAAUCCCCGGGCUCAACCUGGGAACUGCAUCUGUGACUGCAUAGCUAGAGUACGGUAGAGGGGGAUGGAAUUCCGCGUGUAGCAGUGAAAUGCGUAGAUAUGCGGAGGAACACCGAUGGCGAAGGCAAUCCCCUGGACCUGUACUGACGCUCAUGCACGAAAGCGUGGGGAGCAAACAGG
rnacentral:rRNA from 1 species